AAGCAGAUUUUCCCCCAGAGCAUCCAGAUAAGAACUCAGUCCACUCAACAUCUUCAGCUUUGUGAUAUUCCAGGCAUAUUGUGCUGAACUUCUGACUUACAGAACUUCAGUCCUGAAAGGAUUAUAAAAGCAAGAAAGAAACAUGGACUCUAAGAAUUAACAACAGUGUGGGAAGCCACGGAGGAGAUUUAUGACUACCCUAAAUUGGUUUGUGUUUGGAUGGAUGACUAUUUCCUGCUCUUUAUUACUAGAAAUUGGCAGCAACAUCUCAGAUUGGAUAAUGGAGGAAAGAGGAUUAUGGAAAUUUAGUAGCAGAAUGUUGGGGAGCCUGGAGAAGAACAG
rnacentral:lncRNA from 1 species